GUGAAGUUACCGGCUACAAUAGCGAUAGGCACUGCUAAAAUAAUUAUUCCAGAGAGUGCACAUAAAGCACCCACAAUACAACCGAGUGUUGUGACAGGAUAUAUGUCUCCAUAUCCGACGGUUGUCAUGGUAACAAUAGCAAACCAAAUUCCUUGAAACAUAUUUGAAAACGUGAAGUUUGAAAAUUCGGCAUAGAAUAUCAUGUUCGCAAAGAGUAUUGCCAAUGUUAGGCACAUAAGUAGUAACACAGAGAGAUCCUUAAGGCUAUCCCACAAUGCAAGAAAUAAAAUUCGAAUUCCGCUAGAUUGCAAUGC
rnacentral:lncRNA from 1 species